UCCUUAGGAUCACCGAAGUUAAGUAACGUCGAGCCUGGUCAGUACUUAGAUAGGUGACCGCUUCGGAAUACCAGGUGCUGUAAG